GCGGCAGGCUUAACACAUGCAAGUCGAGGGGCAUCGGGAGGGAAGCUUGCUUUCCUUGCCGGCGACCGGCGCACGGGUGAGUAACACGUAUGCAACCUGCCCUCUUCAGGGGGACAACCUUCCGAAAGGGAGGCUAAUCCCGCGUAUAUCGGUUUCGGGCAUCCGAGAUCGAGGAAAGAUUCAUCGGAAGAGGAUGGGCAUGCGGCGCAUUAGCUUGACGGCGGGGUAACGGCCCACCGUGGCGACGAUGCGUAGGGGUUCUGAGAGGAAGGUCCCCCACACUGGUACUGAGACACGGACCAGACUCCUACGGGAGGCAGCAGUGAGGAAUAUUGGUCAAUGGGAGAGAUCCUGAACCAGCCAAGCCGCGUGAGGGAAGACGGCCCUAUGGGUUGUAAACCUCUUUUGUCGGAGAACAAAACCCGGGACGUGUCCCGGACUGCGUGUAUCCGAAGAAAAAGCAUCGGCUAACUCCGUGCCAGCAGCCGCGGUAAUACGGAGGAUGCGAGCGUUAUCCGGAUUUAUUGGGUUUAAAGGGUGCGUAGGCGGUCUGUUAAGUCAGCGGUAAAAUUGCGGGGCUCAACCCCGUCGAGCCGUUGAAACUGGCAGACUUGAGUUGGCGAGAAGUACGCGGAAUGCGCGGUGUAGCGGUGAAAUGCAUAGAUAUCGCGCAGAACUCCGAUUGCCAAGGCAGCGUACCGGCGCCAGACUGACGCUGAGGCACGAAAGCGGGGGGAUCGAACAGGAUUAGAUACCCUGGUAGUCCACGCAGUAAACGAUGAAUGCUGGUUGUCCGGGUCGAAUGAGACCUGGGCGGCGAAGCGAAAGCGAUAAGCAUUCCACCUGGGGAGUACGCCGGCAACGGUGAAACUCAAAGGAAUUGACGGGGGCCCGCACAAGCGGAGGAACAUGUGGUUUAAUUCGAUGAUACGCGAGGAACCUUACCCGGGCUCAAACGGGAGUGGAAUGGACCAGAGACGGUUCAGCCUACGGGCCGCUUCCGAGGUGCUGCAUGGUUGUCGUCAGCUCGUGCCGUGAGGUGUCGGCUUAAGUGCCAUAACGAGCGCAACCCCCGCCGGCAGUUGCUAACGGGCAAUGCCGAGGACUCUGCCGGGACUGCCGCCGCAAGGCGUGAGGAAGGCGGGGAUGACGUCAAAUCAGCACGGCCCUUACGUCCGGGGCGACACACGUGUUACAAUGGGCGGUACAGCGGGAAGCCAGGCGGCGACGCCGAGCGGAACCCGAAAGCCGUUCUCAGUUCGGAUCGGAGUCUGCAACCCGACUCCGUGAAGCUGGAUUCGCUAGUAAUCGCGCAUCAGCCAUGGCGCGGUGAAUACGUUCCCG
rnacentral:rRNA from 1 species